UACGUAGGGCGCAAGCGUUAUCCGGAAUUAUUGGGCGUAAAGAGCUCGUAGGCGGUCUGUCGCGUCGGCUGUGAAAACCCGGGGCUCAACCCCGGGCCUGCAGUCGAUACGGGCAGACUAGAGUGCGGUAGGGGAGACUGGAAUUCCUGGUGUAGCGGUGAAAUGCGCAGAUAUCAGGAGGAACACCGGUGGCGAAAGCGGCUCACUGGUCCGGUACUGACGCUGAGGUGCGAAAGCGUGGGGAGCAAACAGG
rnacentral:rRNA from 1 species